AUCCUGUUGUAGUUCAUAAGCAUGACUGGAUUUUCAUAUUUAUGUGUGAGAUGCGCCUUGCUCAACCAUUUUGA
rnacentral:snoRNA from 1 species